rnacentral:tRNA from 1 species
AAUGAAGAGCCUGAUUAAAGGAUUAUUUUGAUAGAAUAAAUUAUGUAUAACCUACCUUCAUUA